UGGGUACAAAAUGUCGCAGGUUCAAAUCCUGUCAUCCCUAAAAACCCGAUGUCGUAGGUUCGAAUCCUACAGGGCGUG
rnacentral:tRNA from 1 species